rnacentral:rRNA from 1 species
CGUGUAGGCGGCUUUGCAAGUCGGGUGUGAAAUCCCUCAGCUCAACUGAGGAAGUGCGCCCGAAACUGCAUAGCUGGAGUACCGGAGAGGAUGGUGGAAUUCCCGAAGUAGAGGUGAAAUUCGUAGAUAUCGGGAGGAACACCGGUGGCGAAGGCGACCAUCUGGACGGAUACUGACGCUGAGACGCGAAAGCGUGGGUAGCAAACA